GGAUGUGAUCAUACCAGCUCUAAUGCAUCAGUUUCUAUCAGAACUCUGCAAUUAAGCGUGCUUGGGCAAGAGUAGUACUAAGUUGGGUGACCACUUGGGAAGUCGUCGUGUUGGACCCC
rnacentral:rRNA from 1 species